GGAGAGGGGGAACGAAGGAGGUUGGGUCUGGCGGGAAGGUGAUUUCCCCUCCUGUGGUCACAGCAAAUAGAAGUUUUCUAUUUGGGAGAGUUGGCAAGCAGAAGCCCCUGGCCAAAAGAGUUGUUACUGGGUGUCACUUCAUGGGAGAGGAGCUAAAACAGGCGGGAGGAAGGACCCGAGGCCUUGCACAAAGAGCGUGGCAGAGCUGGGGAGCAGGGACUGGUGGGGAACGGUCGUUUGUAGCCAUUACCAGUGACCUGGUGUGAAUCUGAAAGGGAGGAAAAGACGCGAUCCUGGUCAGGCUGGCUGUGAGCAGGUAGGGAAGCAGCAGAUUCCUCUUGGAGAUAGAUUGUGUGUUGGGCUGCUCCGUUGUGAGGGUUUUGCUCCUUGGUGAGGAAGGUGGUGUUAGUGAACUUAAGUAUCUGGUGUAGAGGUAUAGUUAAAAGACUUUUGGUAGAAAGUAAAAGCUUUAUUUAAAGUCUGGUGCACACUCAGCCCUGCUCUUGAGGGCCCAGUGCCGGGAGGAGGAAGAAGAGGGGGAAUCAGUCCUGCUCUAAGUUCUGCACCCUCCCUUUCAGGCCGGGCAGCACCUGGCRGCUCAGACGUCAGCGCCRCUUCGCUGGGGGUYGCAGGCGGCUACGAGCAUCUCCCCYGGCKCYGUCUCUCUCUGCCGCGACUCUUGGAGCCCUCCCUCCUGCCCGUCGCCUCCUCGUCCCUUGCAGCGUGUCCCAGGGAGGAUGUUCAGUGCAGCAGGAACAGCCGACUGGAUCUCGCUUUCCCUGUGGACCCCAGCGCUGGAGGCCGGAGAACCUGCACAAACAAUGCUGCGUUGAUGCACUGAAGCACCAGCAGGCCCCAGCGAGGAGCACAGCGCUGCYGAUACGGGGAGCGAGGGAGGAUCCCUGCGCUGGAGAUGUCGGGUGCUCGUUGCUGGGAAGAACUGAUACGUCUCCUCUUGCCACCCCUCCACCAGCUCUGCGGGGCCACCGGUUCAGACUCCAGCUGCRAUGAGGAAGGGACCCUCUUUUCCAGAGAUCCCACCCAAAAGAGCAACUGGAUUUUUGCCGUYGUUUUCCCCUCGAGGAGCUGCCRCGGAAGGAAGGGGGCCGGCGUCUGCCAGCUCGUUCUGCUCCCCAGGCAGAGCGGAGUGGGAAUCGGGCACGGUAGCACCGCGCUGGGGUGUUUCGACUCUUGGAAAUAAAACUCGGAGCAAGCCGCAGCUGAGACAAGGUGACGUGUUUUAUUCUGCGCGCGGUACAUUUUAAUCCCUAACAGCUUGCAGACGGACGCAUCCCCCUCCCUCCUCGGGGACCAGCUCGUAGCUGCACCGCUGGAGCUGAGAGGCGGCAGCCGUGGCCAUCGCCCUGCAGCUCCUGCUCCCGCGCCGUAGACGAGGACUCGCGUCCGCAGCGGCUGCUUUCACCUCCCGCCCAGGUUUGCGCUUUAUUUCAGCACAGCCGCAGCCCCGCACUGACCACGUCCCUCAGCGHGGGAGCAGCGAGCGCUCCCCAGGCCAAGUGCUUUGUGUGGGGGCAGACACGGCCCAGGGCUUUUGUCUCCCCACAAAGCACUGAGGCCUGCCMCUGCURCCCUUAAAGGUAAGGUUGAGAGACUUUAAGAGGCUUAAAGUCUCUGGGAACUCUUAAAGUAACUUUAAGAAUAACCUAAGGAACUCGGACAAACUUUAAGAACAUUAGUCUUAAGUUCUUAACAGGCGGCUGAGUUCCUUAGGUUAUUCUUAAAGUUACUUUAAGACUCUUAAAGUAACUUUGAGUUACUUAAUGUCUUCCCAAGUAACUCAAAGCAACUUUAAGGGUAGCCAGAGACUUAAAGGCAGGGGCCAGAGACUUUAAGAGGCUUAAAGUCUCUGGCU
rnacentral:lncRNA from 1 species